GAGCUGUAGCAGAUUAUCUAUUAUUGAGAAGCGGUAAAUUCAAAUAGGCGAAAUCCUGGAUCCUUCGCUAGUGGCAGGCUGCGAUCUUCAUAGGAUCUACAACUUAAUCCCCGGGGGUUGUCAACUUGUAGUUCAGCUUUGGUACAGCUUGCAACUUCUAUUUUAGGCUUUUUGGGCAUCAACGUGUUUGGAGGACCCCUGGAAUUCAUAUUUCGGCUGUUUUUUCUUAGUACGUAAUACUGUGUGAGAGAUAAGGAGCUGCAAUGUAAAAGCUUUGAGCUGCUGUUGGAAUCCCAUCAUAAUGACUCAUUUUUGAUUGUUUUUGAGGAAUGGAAGUGCUAUUCAUUAAAUAAAGCUAUGGUUCUA